rnacentral:rRNA from 2 species
CGUGCCUAAUACAUGCAAGUCGAACGAGUUCUGAUUAUUGAAAGGUGCUUGCAUCUUGAUUUAAUUUUGAACGAGUGGCGGACGGGUGAGUAACACGUGGGUAACCUGCCCUUAAGUGGGGGAUAACAUUUGGAAACAGAUGCUAAUACCGCAUAAAUCCAAGAACCGCAUGGUUCUUGGCUGAAAGAUGGCGUAAGCUAUCGCUUUUGGAUGGACCCGCGGCGUAUUAGCUAGUUGGUGAGGUAACGGCUCACCAAGGCAAUGAUACGUAGCCGAACUGAGAGGUUGAUCGGCCACAUUGGGACUGAGACACGGCCCAAACUCCUACGGGAGGCAGCAGUAGGGAAUCUUCCACAAUGGACGCAAGUCUGAUGGAGCAACGCCGCGUGAGUGAAGAAGGCUUUCGGGUCGUAAAACUCUGUUGUUGGAGAAGAAUGGUCGGCAGAGUAACUGUUGUCGGCGUGACGGUAUCCAACCAGAAAGCCACGGCUAACUACGUGCCAGCAGCCGCGGUAAUACGUAGGUGGCAAGCGUUAUCCGGAUUUAUUGGGCGUAAAGCGAGCGCAGGCGGUUUUUUAAGUCUGAUGUGAAAGCCCUCGGCUUAACCGAGGAAGUGCAUCGGAAACUGGGAAACUUGAGUGCAGAAGAGGACAGUGGAACUCCAUGUGUAGCGGUGAAAUGCGUAGAUAUAUGGAAGAACACCAGUGGCGAAGGCGGCUGUCUGGUCUGUAACUGACGCUGAGGCUCGAAAGCAUGGGUAGCGAACAGGAUUAGAUACCCU